GAGCUUGCUCCUGCCGGCGAGUGGCGAACGGGUGAGUAAUGCAUCGGAACGUGUCCUGUUGUGGGGGAUAACUGAUCGAAAGAUCAGCUAAUACCGCAUGAGACCUGAGGGUGAAAGCGGGGGAUCGCAAGACCUCGCGCGACAGGAGCGGCCGAUGUCUGAUUAGCUAGUUGGUGAGAUAAAAGCUUACCAAGGCGACGAUCAGUAGCUGGUCUGAGAGGAUGAUCAGCCACAUUGGGACUGAGACACGGCCCAGACUCCUACGGGAGGCAGCAGUGGGGAAUUUUGGACAAUGGGGGAAACCCUGAUCCAGCCAUGCCGCGUGCGGGAUGAAGGCCUUCGGGUUGUAAACCGCUUUUGUCAGAGACGAAAAGGGACGUACGAAUAAUACGUUCCGCUGACGGUAUCUGAAGAAUAAGCACCGGCUAACUACGUGCCAGCAGCCGCGGUAAUACGUAGGGUGCAAGCGUUAAUCGGAAUUACUGGGCGUAAAGGGUGCGCAGGCGGCUGUGCAAGACAGGUGUGAAAUCCCCGGGCUUAACCUGGGAACUGCAUUUGUGACUGCACGGCUAGAGUUUGUCAGAGGAGGGUGGAAUUCCGCGUGUAGCAGUGAAAUGCGUAGAUAUGCGGAAGAACACCAAUGGCGAAGGCAGCCCUCUGGGACAUGACUGACG
rnacentral:rRNA from 1 species